UAUUUAUGACCAGGGCAACUUGCUUUAAUUGAUGGAACCAUAAAUUCAGCUGUCUGCCAAAAAAUCCUGAAAGAGGACAUCUGGUCAUUAAUUCUUGGCCUUAAACACAAGCAUACUUUUGUUUUGCAGCUUGACAAAUAUCUGAAGAACCCCAGCAAGUCCACCUCUAAAGGGCUCAAGAAAAGAAAAAUCCACAACUUGGGAAAUAAAAGGAAAGUACAGCAGUACAGAUAUUUACAUUUAGCACUUUUCAAAUCUUGUUGCAUAACAGUGCUAAGAGGCAGCGUGUUUUUUUUCCUGUGACAGCUCAUUAUGGAAUUAGAUAAAGUGACUUGAAAUCCAUUUGCAAUUAAAAAUCCACAAACUGACCCCGAUGUUCACUGAAGAGCACCUGCCAUCCAAAACAAGAGGGUUGCAAUAGUCAAAGCGUCAUGAGAGAGUAGACUGGGAACGGAUGUUCCUGCUUGGCCAAUCUGAAAAGUCUUUGUGAGUCUAAUUUCCCUCUGAGUGAAUCUAUUACUAGUUUCUGUGUUUUUCUUUUAGUGGGUGUUGGUCAUCUUCUACUUCAUCUUCGAACAUCAGUCAAAGACGUAUUGCCUGAGGCUGAUACUGGAUAAAGCUCAAGAGGAAGCAUUUCUGUUAAAAAUAUGGUCACACACUGGACACCUUUACAGAGGAGUUCAUGGUCAACUCAAAGACUACAAAGUACCCAGUGUUCUGUGGUAUCCAAAUAAACCCUAAUCACUUCCUCAGUCUUACUCGACAGCUGGUAUGAGGUAUUUGUCUUGAUAUGCUUUUUUAGUUUUUGCCAAAUAUGGCCCUGUUCAUUUGGCUUCAUCUGUCUGAAAGACCAGAAGUUGCAGAGGUCUUAUGGUUGAGUCCAAUGCUACACCACAAACCUAGGCGGCUCACCCACAGUCUUCUUCUGGCUUUGCUGUCGUUAAAUGUAUUUAACAUGCCAAGCGAGGCCUACAGAGUAUGAAAUAUAGCUCUUGGCAUUUUGAACUUGUAUAGGUGGAUUUGCUGGGACAUUAACUCCUGCGAAGAUUGGCAGCUGUCUUAAAUGUUUGCCUGUGAAGAAUUUAUCUGUAUAUGUAGAAUGAUGGAUUUCAAAUACACUGAAAAUGCUACCCAAGUUUGAUAAGCAGUAAAAAUUGCUACCUUGAAGUCAUUGCUGAUGUCUCUCCUUUUUGACAUUGUGUUAGCAAACUGAAAAUGAAUCUGCUUUAAUACAGCUUCUAACACCACUUAUUGUUCAUCAAAUGAAGCACAUUUGAUUGGGAACACCCUGGCUGCUACUUUCCCUUUUUAAAUCUAAUAAAAUCAUUU